rnacentral:rRNA from 1 species
AGCGAACGCUGGCGGCAGGCCUAACACAUGCAAGUCGAACGAAGCCUUCGGGCUUAGUGGCGGACGGGUGAGUAACACGUGGGGACGUACCUUUUGGUUCGGAACAACUCAGGGAAACUUGAGCUAAUACCGGAUGAGCCCUUAGGGGGAAAGAUUUAUCGCCGAAAGAGCGGCCCGCGUUAGAUUAGCUAGUUGGUGAGGUAAAGGCUCACCAAGGCUACGAUCUAUAGCUGGUCUGAGAGGAUGAUCAGCCACACUGGGACUGAGACACGGCCCAGACUCCUACGGGAGGUAGCAGUGGGGAAUCUUGCGCAAUGGGCGAAAGCCUGACGCAGCCAUGCCGCGUGAAUGAUGAAGGUCUUAGGAUUGUAAAAUUCUUUUACCAGGGACGAUAAUGACGGUACCUGGAGAAAAAGCCCCGGCUAACUUCGUGCCAGCCGCCGCCGUAAAAC